UUGCCAUCUACGCGUGUUCGUUUUUGGUUCUUCUGUUUUCCCCUCUCAUGUGAAUUCUCGGCUUCCAUUCUUGUGGUCUUGACUUGGUUGCAGAAAGAAGCAGAAAUGAAGCUCAUGGCCUUGAGAGAUUUAGAUUGGGGCAAAGGAGAACAGGGUCGCAUGAUCAGUUUGAUGCAUCGCUGAUAAACAACGAAGAUUGCCAACACAAAGAUUGAACAACUGGAGGAUCAUAUUAAGACCUUGGCAAAUGAUCAAGAACAGCUAAAACAACCCAGGGCAAGAAAGCAGAGUUGUGACGGAAGUGAACAAUAAAGGAUCUGUAAGUUCAUCGUUUGGCACUGAGGUUUUCUAAAGACACGAUGGAUGAUACUGAGCAGACCAGUAGGGACCCUGUACCACUACUAGGUUUGAAGCAAUUUUCCGCCGAUCCUGGUCUCUAAAUCUACGAUUUAAGUUUUGCCAUUGGUUGAUUAUCCUCUUCCUUCAAAAGUGGCUCAUGCUUCCAUUGGUCAAUUUUUAUGCUUAAAACAUGAAAUUCAAAAUGGAACUGGAUUUUUUUUGU